CAUACCAAUUGUUGCCUCGGCGGAUCAGCCCGCUCCCGGUAAAACGGGACGGCCCGCCAGAGGACCCCUAAACUCUGUUUCUAUAUGUAACUUCUGAGUAAAACCAUAAAUAAAUCAAAACUUUCAACAACGGAUCUCUUGGUUCUGGCAUCGAUGAAGAACGCAGCAAAAUGCGAUAAGUAAUGUGAAUUGCAGAAUUCAGUGAAUCAUCGAAUCUUUGAACGCACAUUGCGCCCGCCAGUAUUCUGGCGGGCAUGCCUGUUCGAGCGUCAUUUCAACCCUCAAGCCCCCGGGUUUGGUGUUGGGGAUCGGCGAGCCCUUGCGGCAAGCCGGCCCCGAAAUCUAGUGGCGGUCUCGCUGCAGCUUCCAUUGCGUAGUAGUAAAACCCUCGCAACUGGUACGCGGCGCGGCCAAGCCGUUAAACCCCCAACUUCUGAAUGUUGACCUCGGAUCAGGUAGGAAUACCCGCUGAACUUAA
rnacentral:rRNA from 1 species